rnacentral:tRNA from 1 species
GUUCCUGUAGUUGAAGCAACAACGAUGGCUUUUCAGGUCAGAGGUCUUGGAGAAAGGCCAAGCAGGAAUU